rnacentral:misc_RNA from 1 species
UAACUACGAGGAGACCAUGAGGGCCGUUUGGAUGAACCAGAACGUAAAAUUAAUCAUUACUAAUACUAUAGAGACGAAAUAUUAAUUUAUAUUGAAGAAAUUGAAAUUAAAGCACCAUUUUUAAUAAUUAUUUUACUGUAAAAUAGCUACAUACAUUAUUCAGAGUUGUGGGACGUCGAUGACAGCCUGAACAAUACACUCUUAAAGAUAGACGACUCUGGCUGUAUAACAGUAAACUUAGACCAUACA